UUUAUUACUAUCUGAAGUUUGAUUCAUCCGCAAGCACUCAUUUUAUUUAUUGCAGAGGCUAGGUGAGCAAUUUAAAACAGAUCAAUAUCCUAGCCGUGAUGCUAUGAAUGAGGGUAUGCCAUCUGGAAUUCUGAUCGAAGGUAUCACACAAGAUGGUCCACUGAAGCACGUCAUUGGUGUUGGGCCUAGAACAAAUGUGAGCCCUCCAAAUUGCAGUAAAAGAUAUACCAUACAUUAUGUUAGGCGCCGGAAAGGCGAGUCCUCCAGAGAGAAUAAUGGGAAGAAUAGCUCCGCAAGCAGUGCUGGAAGGCCAAAAGGUGGCGAUGAAGAGUAUUCAGUCCUGGCUCUGUAAGUAGUGAAUGAGAAAACAAGAAACAAAAUGCUGCCGGAGCUAAAGAAGAGGAAGAUUGGCUGAAAUUCUAAACCCACAACGUAUCGUGGCAACAGCGCACUGUUAUGGUUGACAAUGGAAGACACUGGACGUUUCAUUGUGCCUUCCGUCACUGUAGAAGCAUGCACAUGUGCUGUCAUUGGUUGUGUACAGUGUUGUUUCUGUUGUUUUCUAAUUACCUAGAUAAGUAACUAGUUUCUUUA